AGAAGCAGUGGGUCAUCCAUAGGCGGGCAGCCCUGAACAGAGCUGGGAUGGGGAGAGGACGGGAUUCCGGGCCCAGAAGGGGCCCUGGGUGGAGCCAGAGCUGGGCAAGUCCGGGCUGGGCCUAAUGCCCCCUGUGCCUACUCCCCAGUUCCAGUGCCCAGGGCUGCGGCGGAAACCCAGGACCUCCUGGAGCAGAACUUUCCGAGGAGGAGGUGCAGCAGGACCCCUGGGGCUGGGGUUUCUGGACCCUUUAAGCAGGAAGAAGCACUUGCGUUGGGGGCAGGUGAGAGAAGGCCCACUGCCCGAAGGCUCGACCUUGGAGCAAGAGGGGACGGGGACCGGGCGGAGCCUGCGCAGACGGCCGGCCGGGGCUGGGGCCGGGAGGCGAGGAGGAGCGCGCGGCGGGGGCGAUCGGGGGCAGGGGGUGCGGAGAAGAGCGGGGAGGGUCCCCACCUGGCCUGUCGGCUCCGGGUCGCUCGCCGUCCGUUCGGCAGCCUGCCCGCGCCCGCCCCCAGCCCGGAAGCGGGACCCGCCCCCCGCACGACCGGUCCCGGCGCUCCGGGCUCUCAGGUUGCGUCAGGAUCGGGCGGACCGGAGCCGUCCCCUCCCUCGGCCGCGAGCCAUCCCGAGUACGGCGGGGCGGGGCCGAGCUGGGCCGGAGGGCGGUGGGCGUCUCCUUGCCGAUCCCCGCGGAGGCAGCCCUGUGCCGGCGCGGCCCCACCCCGCGGCCCGGCCCGCGGGCACCUGGGCUCGGCGGCCACCCGGCCCUCCGCCGGCUCGGAGCUCGCUGGGUGUGGACGCCCCGGGAAGCUUCUUCCAGGCGCCUCGGGAGAAGGGAGCAAGCUGCCCAGACGACCUCGGAGUGCGCCCCAGCGCGCCGCGGUUGCGGGGACGGGGGAGUCGGGGAGCGACGCGGGAGGCUGGAAUUGAGGGUCCUGGCAGCCAGGAGUUCGAACCCUGGAGAAAGCCUUCACUCCCCACAGGCGCUGUGGGCAGGGGGCCCUCCACACCACCCUCCCUGGCCGACCCUGCGGCACUCGUGCUGAUGUAGCCAGACAGCAGGUCAGUCCCGUGACCACCGGGAGGACGGCUGCCCCUCCCUGGCGUGCUCCUCUGUGGACUGAAAGCUGCCUGGCUGCCUGCCCAGGUCUGAGGUGGGCUCAAGCUGUGAAGGGCUCUAGAAAAGGAACGGUGGGGGAUAGGUGGUUUCCCAAGAGCAGCAGCAGCUGAAGGGGGCCCCCUUACCCCAGGGAUCAGGCAGACAGGGGGCCAAAAGGGUAGGGACAUCAUCCACACCCUGGCCCCUGUCCCACCCCCGGCUUUGCACUCCUUUGCUGGCCUUUGAAGCUGAUCCCAGGGGGAGAGGGGGAAGUGGGCCGCUUUAAGGGCGCAGGCUUCGGGCUGCACCCUGGCUGCGGCAGGGCUCCCCACUGACCGGCCUCUAGCCACCUCAGUGUCCCCCCAUAUGUUGGGGGGUUGAAGGGCAGCCACAUGGCUCCCUCCCUUUGGCCCACCUCUGCUGCACCCCUGAAAGAGCCCCCGUUCCAGACCCUUCUUCCUCCACAAGCCCCUGUCAGCACCUGACAGGACACGGCCCAGGGACACAAGGGGCCCCCACUUUGCUACACGGCUGAACUGGUGGAGCCUGCGGCCCCCGCAGAGUCCCCGGCCCGGCGUGCACCUCUCUCCACAUCCUUGAACUUGAUGGUUCUGCGCCGGGGGAGCCGGGGACUGGCAGCCACCUCAGCCAGGAGCCCGGGGCCACAGAAGCUCAGGCUGCUGCCCCGGUUCCUGAGCACCAGCUUCAGCUCCUGGUUCUCCUGGAUGAGCUGCACCAGCCGCCUCAGCUCCUCGUUCUCCUGUGCCAGCCGCUGGAUCUCCUGCCGCAGGCCCUCGUAGCUGCUGAGGAGCGACAUGCCCGGCAGUGGUGGGCAGCAGCUGCUGGCGGCAGGCAGGCUGGCCAGGGGGCAGCGGACCCUGCCAUUGUGAGUAUUCUUGCCUGGAGAAUUCCAUGGGCAGAGGAGCCUUGCAGGCUACAGCCCAUGGGGUUGCAGAGUCGGAUACGACUAAGCAACUAACAACACAGCUAAAGGGAGAUGAUUGGACAGCAUCAUCGACUCAACGGACAUGCAUCUGAGCAAACUCCAGGAGAUGGUGAAGGAGGACAGGGAAGACUGGCCUGCUGCAGUCCGUGGGGUUGCAGAGUUGGACAUGACUUAGUGACUGAACAAGCUAAAGGAGCUGUUACCUGAAAACAACUUUAUACCCAAGCUAGUUAAGUUAUAAAAAUAAUCUUUGAUUAAACAUGUUAGAGGGGAGACUAAACUAUCUUCUCUUUAUAUAGAAGGGGACAUCAUGAAAGUGUCACCAUCUUAAGAGGCCAUCAGAUUUUGUAUCCAAAAAGCACAGGGGAAACACGUUAGAGAAAUAUAUCAGGAAGUUAAUUGAGGA